UACAGAGGGUGCGAGCGUUAAUCGGAAUUACUGGGCGUAAAGCGCGCGUAGGCGGCUUUGCAAGUCGGGUGUGAAAUCCCCAGGCUUAACCUGGGAACUGCAUUCGAGACUGCAUUGCUAGAGUAUGGGAGAGGGAAGUGGAAUUUCCGGUGUAGCGGUGAAAUGCGUAGAUAUCGGAAGGAACAUCAGUGGCGAAGGCGGCGAUCUGGGGCGAUACUGACGCUGAGGUGCGAAAGCGUGGGGAGCAAACAGG
rnacentral:rRNA from 1 species